rnacentral:rRNA from 1 species
AGAGUUUGAUCCUGGCUCAGGAUGAACGCUGGCGGUCUGCUUAACACAUGCAAGUCGAACGAACUCUUCGGAGUGAGUGGCGGACGGGUGAGUAACGCGUGAGAAUCUACCUGUGGGUCGGGGACAACCACUGGAAACGGUGGCUAAUACCGGAUGAGCCGAAAGGUAAAAGAUUUAUUGCCCACAGAUGAGCUCGCGUCUGAUUAGCUAGUUGGUAAGGUAAAAGCGUACCAAGGCGACGAUCAGUAGCUGGUCUGAGAGGAUGAGCAGCCACACUGGGACUGAGACACGGCCCAGACUCCUACGGGAGGCAGCAGUGGGGAAUUUUCCGCAAUGGGCGAAAGCCUGACGGAGCAAGACCGCGUGGGGGAGGAAGGUUUUUGGAUCGUAAACCCCUUUUGUCAAGGAAGAAGCUCUGACGGUACUUGACGAAUAAGCCUCGGCUAACUCCGUGCCAGCAGCCGCGGUAAUACGGAGGAGGCAAGCGUUAUCCGGAAUGAUUGGGCGUAAAGCGUCUGUAGGUGGCCAGCUAAGUCUGCUGUUAAAGAUCACAGCUCAACUGUGGGAAGGCAGUGGAAACUGGCAAGCUAGAGGUUGGUAGGGGU